CAUGCCCAGUGGAGCUCUAUGUCAAGAGAGAUGCAGGCUGCAAAUUGGGAAGCACGGCUGGAUUUUCCACAAAAUGCAGUCUACACCACCACGAGCAGUAUGCAGCAGAGAUGGAGGCAACAGUUUUCAGAAAAAGUGUUGUGCUCAGGAAGCAAUCACUGGAGAAGAAAAAGCUUUUCUGGAUGGUGUCCCAGAUGGGGUUCUUGCAAGUUGCACUCUCCCUUUGCAACCUUCCUGUUGUUUUAGACCUCUUCAAUGAACACAAAAAUAUAUCUUUCAUAAAAGAAGACACCAUUUCUAUGCCGAUUGGAGAAAACAACCUGUAUCCUUAGUAGAGCUAGGUUCCCAGUGGAAAUGUAUACCAAUAGAAGAGGAACUGCUUGUCGAAUUCCCUGCCAAUCUCUGUCUUUAAUCUGCAGAUGUUUUAUUAUCUCUCUUGCUUCUCUUUCCACAGUUGCAUUCAAUUUUCUGCAAGUGCUUUCAUGCCAGGAAGAAAGAACAUUCAGAACAGAAAUGCCUCGUUACAUAUUUUAUGAGGGUCCUUAACCACAUGCAUGGAAAAUGUUUAUUUUAUAAGUGCAGAAUUGUCCCCUGGGGAUGUUUUGCUUCACGAAUGAGCCUAAUGAGCAUUAGAGGAGCAGUUUUGCUCAGGAAAGUGGUACGUUUUUUCUUCCUUAAUUUUUUAAUUACAGCCCCCGACCUGAAGGACUAGCACGAAACUAUAAACAGAUCACAAACGACAAGUAACAUGUCUUUUUCAUCAGUCUCAUUGAGAGGGGUUACACUGGUGCGUAUCCCCCCCCGCUGCAUGGGCGUGAUGCAAGGUGAGCUCCUGCCCUGCUGAGUGUCAGCACAGACCUUGUCGCUGUCCCCUGGGAGUCCCUGUCCCCUCUGUUUUCUCCCAGGAACCUGCUUGGGCUCACGGGCAUCUCCCUGACAUGAGCCCCACUUAGUCCCCACACUGGAAUGCGGCAUGUGUAAAUGGAUGGAUGUUGCCUCCCCGAGGAAGGAGGCACCAUGUGCACCGUGCACCUCCCGGUUUUCUCACCAGACAACAUUUAGAGUCAGUUGUAAAUACAGUUUUGUAGACAUAAGAAAAGAUAAAACAGCAAAAUGUGUUCUUAUGGUUAUACUUUACAAGGGAAACUCAUCUCAGCUAGCUGUGUCCACAGGCAAAUGUGGUGACCUGUCCUCCCCUAGCCUGGGAUGGAAAGAAACCUUCCUUUCCCUCCUUUUUUAUUUGCCUUCCUUUUGUUCCCUCUGACGGAACACAGGAACAAUAUCUUAUUUUACCAUAGUGGAUUAUAUAUUUUCCUGUUGUCCUCUUCCUUAAGGUUACUUGAUUAACAUGCCUAUAGUGUACUAUAAAUACAUUUCUCCUGGUGAUGAAAAAAACUGGUCAGAACUCAAAGCGCAACUGAAUUUUAAUCCUCAGAUGUGGUGAUAUUUUCAUCCCAUGUGUACCAUUAGGGCAACCCUCUUUUUCUGCACCAUCCCCAAAUCUGCAGGUGCCAGCGUUGGCAGGUUGGCUCCUUUGGCCAGGUACCACUGCCCUUUUCAAAUAGAAGCAGAGACUGCAGAGCAAGUGUCAUGCUUUCAUCACCAUUCUUCUGCAAAAAACGACAAAGGCUUUCUUUUGCUGCUCCCAAUUAUGCUGUGAGUGUGUCAGCAACGGCCAUGUCAUAUAUAUAUAUAUAUGGUAUAUUUAUAUAUAUAUCUAUAUCUAUGGGUAUAUCUAUUUCAUUAUUGAUAUUCAUUUUAAACCACAAGGAUUGUCAGGCAGUUUUGAUCUCUUUACCGAUCUAUGUUUUUUAAUGAAAAUGGGUAUUUUAAACCACCUACAAAAAUAGCUGAUAUUACCAAACAGUCAAGGCGAAAAUGAAACAGAAUGAUUUUUUAUUGGAAACUGUUCUGUGCUUUUCUGUUAAAUUUAUUGUACUAGAAAUGUACCAAGUGAACCUGAUAUAUAAAAACAUGGAGGCCAGAGAAACCUCUGGUCACGUACAUAUGUAAAUAUUUCUGUGGAUCUUUUUUCUGAAUGUAUACA